GGCGGUGGCGGCGGCGCGAAGCGGGGCGCCGAGGAGGAGGCGGCGGCUCUGCAGCAGCGCCAUGGCGGCAGCGUGCGGAUGGCUAGGUCUUUCAGCAAGGCAUCCAGCUCGUGCUCGUCGAUGAAGCCGCUGCCGUCCUGGUGGGCCCCAUACCUUAUCAUAAAAAGCAAAAAUCGCGUUGAACUCCUCCGAGGACAGCUUCAUCCCCUGGGCAGCGAGAGAUGGGGAUGUGAAGAGGCACAUUGCAAGCAAGAGCAGGUCCGACAAGAAGCCCUAUGAGGACAGUGCCACACCGUCCCACCGCUGUCACCUUGGGUGACAACGGGGAUGACCCCAUGUAGACAGCCCACCUUCAGCUCGUUGGCUUCGAUGUAGCCACUGCGAUCCGUGUCAUACCUCCUCCAUGCCUGCAAAGGGGCCACCAUGGACAUCACCAUCAGUGGUGCCACAUGGAUCCCAAUCCUGGUGACGACCCCACAGCAUCCCAGUGGAAUGGGGACAUCUCCCACCCAUGUCAUUAUGGGGACAUCCCGCCCAUGUCAUCAGUCACCGCCUCAUGCCAGCUGCUGUCCAUGGUCCUACCACGGUGGGCUGGAUGCUUUCCAACCCAUGUUCAAAUGCCACCGUCCUCACUACAACAGACCCAAAACAUUUAAUUAUCCUCCCCAACUAAACUCUGCUUCCAGAUUUGCCUCCAGCUUGGAGCCUGGAGUCAGCGCCCAAGGUGAGCAUGAUGGCCAUACAUCAUCACUUCAUGUCCCCAAAAUCCAUCUGGCUUUCGGUACCCCUACAGCAGCCCCAGCGCAUCCCUAAAGCACUCAGCAUGGAGGCACCGUGCUCAGCGGUCCCAAAACCCACUGCC